UAUAACCCAAUAAAAAACACACAAACACACGUCUCUCUCAUCAUCCACCUGUGUUUAGGGUUUCAAAUAGAGGAUUUCGAUCCUGAAACCCUAAUUCACCAUCCAAAAUGUCUCAAACUGGAAAAUUAAUGCCCAAUCUGGACCAAAACAACACGAAGAUCCUCAAUCUCACCGUCCCCCAGAGGAUGGACCUGUACAUCAAGGAGAUCUUAAUCACCGUUGCUCAUGUCACCUUCUACGAGUUCAACGUCGACCUCAAUCAUUGGUCGGUGAGACUUUUUUGUUGUUGGGACUGCCCCUUAUUCGAGCCUUAUAUGGCGCCCUUGACAACCAUCAAGCCCCAUAGCGGAUAGCGCCAGGGUACCCCGCCCCCCAGGCGUUAUGGGCAAAAAAAAUUUCCCUCCGUGAUAUGCAUAGCGGCGUGUUAUGGUGUUUCUCUCUCUCUCUCUCACAUAUAUAUAUAUACAUACAUAUAUGCAUAAUUGAAGGGGUAUAAACUCACUACACAAUCAAGUAGACCUGGCAAACGGGUCGGUUCGGGUUGGGUCGGGUCAUGGGUCAAAAUGGGUUCGGGUCAAAACGGGUCAAAACGGGUCAAAUGGUCAAUUACAAAAAAAAGGUUGUUUUCGUUCGGGUCGAAACGGGUUCGGGUCGGAAUGGGUUCGGGCUGAAACGGGUCUGGGUCAGAACGGUUUCGGAUUGGGUCGGGUUGGUUAAAAAUUGCUUUCUUUCACGUCUAAGUUAGAAAAAUGAAUAGAUUUGGUCAUAGUUAUUAAAGGUGCUAGGCGCACUCAAGGCGCUUAGGCCUCGCCUAGGGACUAGGCGCAAAGCGUAAAAAAAGCAAGGGCCUGAGAAAAUAUAAGCGCACAAUGAAAAAAUAUUUAAAAUAUAUUAUAUAUUAGAAAAACUAUUCUUCAAAUAAAAUAAACAAACGCUUUUAUAUAACAUUUAAUGUGAUCUAUUUAGUGCCAAAAGUUCUAAAAUUAGUACCAAAAAUUCUAAAAUAUUAGCGUAUUAGUGUAGAAAGUUAGUUUUCCUUAGAUAAAAGUAGAAAUCUGGCUGGAAUCUUGCCGGAAUUUAAAGAAUUUGGCCGGAAACUCUCCGGAAUCUAGGAAUCUGUGCUUGAACCAUCACCUGAAGGAUUAAAGCGCAAUUGGCUCGACUCAAAGCGCAAUUGUCUCGCCUCGCCUGGAAAAUGGGCCUAGGCGCAAGAGGCGAUGGUUUUUAACAACUAAGGAUUUGGUUAGCCGAACACUACUGUUCAAAGCUAAUUUCUUAUUGCUAACAAAAAUCAAUGCAAAACUUCAUCCUAAUUAUAACUCCAUCCCCAAAAUAUUAAACCUCUAGUAAUUAACCCGGCUCGUUUAAAUAUCAGCUCAAAUUUAGCUCAUGCUCUAGAUAAUACAUUUACUAGUGAAUAACAACAAUUAGUUACUUACAAUACAUAGUAAAUCUAACUGUUUGAGGCAAAAUGGUAAAAUAAAGGUUUAAUUGU